UACGUAGGGUGCGAGCGUUGUCCGGAAUUAUUGGGCGUAAAGGGCUCGUAGGCGGUCUGUCGCGUCGGAUGUGAAAACCCAGGGCUCAACCCUGGGCCUGCAUUCGAUACGGGCAGACUAGAGUAUGGCAGGGGAGACUGGAAUUCCUGGUGUAGCGGUGAAAUGCGCAGAUAUCAGGAGGAACACCGGUGGCGAAGGCGGGUCUCUGGGCCAAAACUGACGCUGAGGAGCGAAAGCGUGGGGAGCGAACAGG
rnacentral:rRNA from 1 species